rnacentral:rRNA from 1 species
CACAGGGAGCGGCGAACGGCUGAGUAACACGUUGGAACCUACCCCAGACUCAGGGAUAUCCCCAAGAAAUUGGGUUUAAUACCGGAUAGUCUCGUAAGAGUAAAGCUUUUGCGGUCUGGGAGGGGCCUGCGGCCUAUCAGUUUGUUGGUAAGGUAACGGCUUACCAACACUAUGACGGGUAGCUGAUCUGAGAGGAUGAUCAGCCAGAAUGGGACUGAGACACGGCCCAUACUCCUACGGGAGGCAGCAGUUAGGAAUCUUCCGCAAUGGGCGAAAGCCUGACGGAGCGACACCGCGUGAAGGAUGACACCCUUUCCGGGCGUAAACUUCUGUUCUGAGGGAACAAAUUUUUGAGGGUACCUCAGGAGAAAGCACCGGCUAAUUCCGUGCCAGCAGCCGCGGUAAGACGGAAGGUGCAAGCGUUACUCGGAAUCACUGGGCGUAAAGCGUCUGUAGGUGUUUUGUAAAGUCUGGUGUUAAAGCACAGAGCUCAACUCUGUUGUAUGUACUGGAAACUUGCAAAAUUGAGCAACUCAGAGGCAUCUGGAAUGCCGUGUGUAGGGGUAAAAUCCGUUGAUCCACGGUAGAACGCUAAAAGCGAAAGCAGGAUGCUGGGAGUUUGCUGACACUCAGAGACGAAAGCGUGGGUAGCGAACGGGAUUAGAUACCCCGGUAGUCCACGCCCUAAACGAUGCGUGUUCGGUGUGGGGGGCACUGUUUCGAUCAUCCCUCCGUGCCUUAGCUAACGCGGUAAGCACGCCGCCUGGGAAGUACGGUCGCAAGAUUAAAACUCAAAGGAAUAGACGGGGACCCACACAAGCGGCGGAGCAUGGGGUUUAAUUCGAUACUAAGCGGGGCACCUCACCCAGACUUGACAUCCCGGAAAGGUUCUAGAAAUAGAACUGUGCCGCAAGGAAUCCGGUGACAGGCGCUGCACGGUCGUCGUCACUCGUGCCUUGAGGUGUGUUGUUAAGUCAAUGAACGAGCGCAACCCUUAUCCUGUGUUGUUUUUUCACAGGAGACUGCCGGCUCCAAGCCGGAGGAAGGUAAGGAUGACGUCAGAUCAGCGUGGCCCUUAUGUCUGGGGCGACACCCGUGCUACAAUGGCUGGUACAAAGGGUAGCCAAGCCGCGAGGCGGAGCCAAUCCCGUAAAAGCCAGUCUCAGUUCGGAUCGAAGUCUGCAACUCGACUUCGUGAAGUUGGAAUCGCUAGUAACCGUAAAUCAGCCACGUUACGGUGAAUAUGUUCCUGGGUCUUGUACUCACCGCCCGUCAAGUGAUGAAAGGCAGAUACGCCCGAAGCUCUUUUACCCGUAAGGGGGAGAACCACGGCGGAGCUGCUGAUUGGCACUAAGUCGUAACAAGGUA